AGGGACCGCGAGGACCCAAGGGUUCUUCAGGAAACAGUGGACUUGAUGGCGCCAAGGGUGAGCCUGGAGAAAAGGGCCCUGCUGGAGAAGAUGGACCUCCCGGAAUAAAUGGAAAGAAUGGUGUGCCUGGUCAGCCUGGAAUCAAGGGACAAGAAGGACGAAUGGGUGCCCCAGGUCCUCCAGGACCUGCAGGUUCACAAGGUAGCAAAGGAGAGGCCGGUUACCCCGGAAUGCAGGGAGUCAUAGGCGACCCGGGAGC